GAUGAACGCUGGCGGCGUGCCUAAUACAUCCAAGUCGAGCGAACGGACGAGAAGCUUGCUUCUCUGAUGUUAGCGGCGGACGGGUGAGUAACACGUGGAUAACCUACCUAUAAGACUGGGAUAACUUCGGGAAACCGGAGCUAAUACCGGAUAAUAUUUUGAACCGCAUGGUUCAAAAGUGAAAGACGGUCUUGCUGUCACUUAUAGAUGGAUCCGCGCUGCAUUAGCUAGUUGGUAAGGUAACGGCUUACCAAGGCAACGAUGCAUAGCCGACCUGAGAGGGGGAUCGGCCACACUGGAACUGAGACACGGGCCGGACUCCUACGGGAGGCAGCAGUAGGGAAUCUGCCGCAAUGGGCGAAAGCCUGACGGAGCAACGCCGCGUGAGUGAUGAAGGUCUUCGGAUCGUAAAACUCUGUUAUUAGGGAAGAACAUAUGUGUAAGUAACUGUGCACAUCUGGACGGUACCUAAUCAGAAAGCCACGGCUAACUACGU
rnacentral:rRNA from 1 species